rnacentral:rRNA from 1 species
UACAGAGGGUGCGAGCGUUAAUCGGAAUUACUGGGCGUAAAGCGUGCGUAGACGGCUAUCUAAGUCGGGUGUGAAAGCCCCAGGCUUAACCUGGGAACUGCAUCCGAUACUGGAUGGCUUGAAUCCGGGAGAGGGAUGCAGAAUUCCAGGUGUAGCGGUGAAAUGCGUAGAUAUCUGGAGGAAUACCGGUGGCGAAGGCGGCAUCCUGGACCGGCAUUGACGCUGAUGAGCGAAAGCUAGGGGAGCAAACGGG